GAAAUGCGAUAAGUAAUGUGAAUUGCAGAAUUCAGUGAAUCAUCGAAUCUUUGAACGCACAUUGCGCCCGCCAGUAUUCUGGCGGGCAUGCCUGUCCGAGCGUCAUUUCAACCAUCAAGCCCCCGGGCUUGUGUUGGGGACCUGCGGCUGCCCGCAGGCCCUGAAAACCAGUGGCGGGCUCGCUGUCACACCGAGCGUAGUAGCAAUCACCUCGCGCAGGGCGUGCUGCGGGUUCCGGCCGUUAAACAGCCUUACAAAACCCAAGGUUGACCUCGGAUCAGGUAGGAAGACCCGCUGAACUUAAGC
rnacentral:misc_RNA from 1 species